GACGAACCGUCCUAACGUUAUUCGGAAUUACUGGGCUUAAAGCGCGUGUAGGCGGGACGACACGUUCGUCGCUGAAAUCCCCCGGCUCAACCGGGGAACGGGCGCGAAUACGAUCGUCCUGGAGGGGUGUAGGGGGACCUGGAACUUCCGGUGGAGCGGUGAAAUGCGUUGAGAUCGGAAGGAACGCCCGUGGCGAAAGCGAGGUCCUGGACACUUUCUGACGCUGAGACGCGAAAGCCAGGGGAGCAAACGGG
rnacentral:rRNA from 1 species